ACUGGAUAGGAGACAAGAAGGCAUCUUCUUGUUUUUAAAAGACCUAGCAAUAGGUAUGCUUAGGGAGGAGCUUGCGUCACAUUAGUUAGUUGGUGGGGUAAAGGCCUACCAAGACUAUGAUGUGUAGCCGGGCUGAGAGGUUGAACGGCCACAUUGGGACUGAGACACGGCCCAAACUCCUACGGGAGGCAGCAGUAGGGAAUUUUCGGCAAUGGAGGAAACUCUGACCGAGCAACGCCGCGUGAACGAUGAAGUAUUUCGGUACGUAAAGUUCUUUUAUUAGGGAAGAAUAAAUGAUGGAAAAAUCAUUCUGACGGUACCUAAUGAAUAAGCCCCGGCUAACUAUGUGCCAGCAGCCGCGGUAAUACAUAGGGGGCAAGCGUUAUCCGGAAUUAUUGGGCGUAAAGGGUGCGUAGGCGGUUAAAUAAGUUUAUGGUCUAAGUGCAAUGCUCAACAUUGUGAUGCUAUAAAAACUGUUUAGCUAGAGUAAGAUAGAGGCAAGUGGAAUUCCAUGUGUAGUGGUAAAAUGCGUAAAUAUAUGGAGGAACACCAGUAGCGAAGGCGGCUUGCUGGGUCUUUACUGACGCUGAGGCACGAAAGCGUGGGGAGCAAACAGGAUUAGAUACCCUGGUAGUCCACGCCGUAAACGAUGAGUACUAAACGUUGGGUAAAACCAGUGUUGAAGUUAACACAUUAAGUACUCCGCCUGAGUAGUACGUACGCAAGUAUGAAACUUAAAGGAAUUGACGGGACUCCGCACAAGCGGUGGAUCAUGUUGUUUAAUUCGAAGGUACCCGAAAAACCUCACCAGGUCUUGACAUGCUUCUGCAAAGCUGUAGAAACACAGUGGAGGUUAUCAGUUGCACAGGUGGUGCAUGGUUGUCGUCAGCUCGUGUCGUGAGAUGUUGGGUUAAGUCCCGCAACGAGCGCAACCCUUAUUGUUAGUUACCAGCACGUAAUGGUGGGGACUUUAGCAAGACUGCCAGUGAUAAAUUGGAGGAAGGUGGGGACGACGUCAAAUCAUCAUGCCCCUUAUGACCUGGGCUACAAACGUGAUACAAUGGCUGUUACAAAGGGUAGCUGAAGCGCAAGUUUUUGGCGAAUCUCAAAAAAACAGUCUCAGUUCGGAUUGAAGUCUGCAACUCGACUUCAUGAAGUUGGAAUCGCUAGUAAUCGCGAAUCAGCAUGUCGCGGUGAAUA
rnacentral:rRNA from 1 species